GGGAGCUUCUCCCCGGAUUAGUGGCGAACGGGUGAGUAACACGUGAGCAACCUGCCCCUAACUCUGGGAUAACGCUUCGAAAGGAGUGCUAAUACCGGAUAUGAGCCUGGAAGACAUCUUCUGGGUUGGAAAGUUUUUCGGUUAGGGAUGGGCUCGCGGCCUAUCAGCUAGUUGGUGAGGUAAAGGCUCACCAAGGCGACGACGGGUAUCCGGCCUGAGAGGGCGACCGGACACACUGGGACUGAGACACGGCCCAGACUCCUACGGGAGGCAGCAGUGGGGAAUAUUGCGCAAUGGGCGAAAGCCUGACGCAGCGACGCCGCGUGAGGGAUGAAGGUCUUCGGAUUGUAAACCUCUUUCAGCAGGGACGAAGCGAAAGUGACGGUACCUGCAGAAGAAGCACCGGCUAACUACGUGCCAGCAGCCGCGGUAAUACGUAGGGUGCAAGCGUUGUCCGGAUUUAUUGGGCGUAAAGAGCUCGUAGGCGGUUAGACACGUCGGAUGUGAAAACUGGGGGCUCAACCCCCAGCCUGCAUCCGAUACGGUCUGACUAGAGUGUGGUAGGGGUAACUGGAAUUCCUGGUGUAGCGGUGAAAUGCGCAGAUAUCAGGAGGAACACCGAUGGCG
rnacentral:rRNA from 1 species